UACGUAGGGUGCAAGCGUUGUCCGGAAUUAUUGGGCGUAAAGAGCUCGUAGGCGGUUCGUCGCGUCGGCUGUGAAAACCCGGAGCUUAACUCCGGGCCUGCAGUCGAUACGGGCGGACUUGAGUUCGGCAGGGGAGACUGGAAUUCCUGGUGUAGCGGUGAAAUGCGCAGAUAUCAGGAGGAACACCGGUGGCGAAGGCGGGUCUCUGGGCCGAUACUGACGCUGAGGAGCGAAAGCGUGGGGAGCGAACAGG
rnacentral:rRNA from 1 species